AUUGAACGCUGGCGGCAGGCCUAACACAUGCAAGUCGAGCGGAGCGGCGGACGGGUGAGUAAUGCCUAGGAAUCUGCCUGGUAGUGGGGGAUAACGUCCGGAAACGGGAGCUAAUACCGCAUACUAUUAGAUUAGCCUAGGUCGGAUUAGCUAGUUGGUGGGGUAAAGGCAUACCAAGGCCACGAUCCGUAACUGGUCUGGGAGGAGGAUCAGUCACACUGGAACUGAGACACGGUCCAGACUCCUACGGGAGGCAGCAGUGGGGAAUAUUGGACAAUGGGCGAAAGCCUGAUCCAGCCAUGCCGCGUGUGUGAAGAAGGUCUUCGGAUUGUAAAGCACUUUAAGUUGGGAGGCGUUACUAACAGAAUAAGCACCGGCUAACUUCGUGCCAGCAGCCGCGGUAAUUC
rnacentral:rRNA from 1 species